CAAUAGCGUAUAUUAAAGUUGUUGCGGUAAAAAAGCUCGCAGUUGGAUUUCUACCGAAGAUAGCCGGUCGGGUCUUCGACCUUGUAUCUGGUUUUGUCUUUGGUAUCCUCAUAGGGAACGUUUCUGCGCUUUAUUGCGUGGUGCGGUAUCUAUGACUUUUACUUUGAGGAAAUUAGAGUGUUCACGGCAGGCAAACGCCUUGAAUAUAUUAGCAUGGAAUAAUAACAUAGGAUCUUCGUCCUAUUUUGUUGGUUUCUAGGGCUAAGAUAAUGAUUAAUAGGGAUAAUUGGGGGCAUCUGUAUCAACGCGUCAGAGGUGGAAUUCUUGGAUUGCGUUGCGACAAACUACUGCGAAAGCAUUUGCCAAGGAUGUUUUCAUUGA
rnacentral:rRNA from 1 species